UAUCGCCCAGUAAAUUUUUUCUACAAAAACGAUACCUCCUAAAUUUUCCAGACUAUCUCUUAUCACGCUGUCACAAUGCAUUAAAUCUUAAUUAGAGCAGGGCUACAAUAUACGAGGUAAAAGAUGGGAGUGAAUGCCUCUCUGCUAAUGCAAGAUCUCAGAAAAUACAAUGGCAAACGCUGCAUGCCGAGUAAGAAGCUGGUGACAUUCCCGGAAAGUCGGCUGAAGACAGCUGGCAGCAUUGUUACAUGCUUCUCUGCUAUGCCUUAUGUUUCUGGUAUAUCAGUUCCAAGUGCUGAAGACAAAAGGUGGAUUGUUGACACACAUUUCAUGCCAUAUGAUGACACACAGUUGAUCAGCAGUGUGGGGGUGUUUAGGUUUAGACAGGGAAUGACACCUGUCAACAUACAACAAAUGAUCAAUGGACUACUUAUACAGUGGAACAUCACUGAUGAUCUCAAGUUCACUCCUGUACGUGGGACCAGUAGUACAUCAUAUCCCCAGAUAUCACCCCAUCCAAAUGGAAAGCAUAUUGGUUACAUCAACAGCAACGUAUCCAUCAUAAACCCUAGUUCUAAACAUAAACUCCACAGACGCAUGGACAUCAAACAUUUGAAUUUCCGGAACAUGUCAAUAUCACCAAAUGGUUUCUAUAUUGCAAGCAUUGCGAGGUCAUCUUAUUAUUUUGAGUUGGUAGUUUCACUUGUAGAUCCCUCUAGUUUGGUCGAUAGGGAUCCCUACAGCACGAUGGGAUAUUUAGGGUCUAGCAUGUCAGAUAUCGCCAGUGUGAACUUACACAGGAUCUGCCCAGGCUUCAUGGGCACAAGAUUAUAUACAGAAAAGGCUGAAGUUGUAUGGUCUCCUGAUAGCCAAUAUAUAGCUGUCACAUCAUCCAUGGGAAUGUUGCUAAUUGUAAAAAGAUCAGCUAACAAUGAUGUAACAAAAAUAAUUCCUGGAAUUUUGGAUUACAAUUGCCAGAAGCUUGCAAAUGAAAGGACAGGUGAUUUUGAUCCACGUUUCGGCCAUCAGACAUUUACAUUUGCACUUAGGGAUGACACUAUCUGUACAUAUGAUCUAGACACUGAUGAUUUUACAGAGGUACUUACAGUUGAAUGCAUUGAAACACUUGAAUCAGUCACUAACCUGAAAUACAAUGUUGCAGGGACAGUUUUAGCCAUAGGUACGUCAGAGAUGUUGAUCCACAUUCAUGACUCGGACACAUUCCAGCUUCUCUACAACCUUGAUGGAAAAUCCCAGGGGAGUAUGUCGGUUCAGAGACACCCUGACAAUAAUGAGUAUCCUAGUUUGUUGCGUAUGUCAUUCAGUCAUACAGGAAACCAACUAUGUACAUCUAACACAGAUGGCAUUGUGAGAAUCUGGCAACUGAAGCCACAUAUUAAUUUACAACAUAUGUGUAGAACUGCUUUACAGAAACACGUUAGGGCAGACAGACUAGUGCAACUACCACUGCCACCAAAGUUAAUAUUUUUUAUCUUACAAUGGCCAUUACCUUAAGUUAUGCUGCUAACCAUGACAAUAGUCACACUAUAUUGGAUUUUCAAGGAAUUUUUGAAGACAUUUUAGUUUUUUAUGUCCCCACCACAUAG
rnacentral:misc_RNA from 1 species